rnacentral:rRNA from 1 species
UGGGCCAGGCGACGGUUGUCCUGGUUCAAGUGCGUAGGCUUGAGAGUUAGGUAAAUCCGGCUCUCUCUAAGGCUGAGACACGACGUCGAGCUGCUACGGCAGUGAAGUCAUUGAUGCCAUGCUUCCAGGAAAAGCCUCUAAGCUUCAGAUAGUCAGGAAUCGUACCCCAAACCGACACAGGUGGUCGGGUAGAGAAUACCAAGGCGCUUGAGAGAACUCGGGUGAAGGAACUAGGCAAAAUGGUACCGUAACUUCGGGAGAAGGUACGCUCUUGAUGGUGAAGUCCCUCGCGGAUGGAGCUGACGAGAGUCGCAGAUACCAGGUGGCUGCAACUGUUUAUUAAAAACACAGCACUGUGCAAAAUCGCAAGAUGACGUAUACGGUGUGACGCCUGCCCGGUGCCGGAA